rnacentral:misc_RNA from 1 species
GAAAUGCGAUAAGUAAUGUGAAUUGCAGAAUUCAGUGAAUCAUCGAAUCUUUGAACGCACAUUGCGCCCCUUGGUAUUCCGGGGGGCAUGCCUGUUCGAGCGUCAUUAUAACCAAUCCAGCCUGGCUGGGUCUUGGGCCUCGCGGUCAGCGGGCCUUAAAACUAGUGGCGGUGCUCUCAUGCUCUACGCGUAGUAAAUUUCUCGCUAUAGGGUCCUGGGAGAUGCUAGCCAACAACCCCUAAUUUUUUCAGGUUGACCUCGGAUCAGGUAGGGAUACCCGCUGAACUUAA